rnacentral:rRNA from 1 species
GACGAACCGUGCGAACGUUAUUCGGAAUCAUUGGGCUUAAAGCGCGUGUAGGCGGAUGGGAACGUCGAUGUUAAAAGCCCCCGGCUCAACCGGGGAACCGGCGUCGAAACGACCCAUCUAGAGGGGCAUAGAGGGAGCUGGAACUUCCGGUGGAGCGGUGAAAUGCGUUGAGAUCGGAAGGAACGCCCGUGGCGAAAGCGAGCUCCUGGAUGUCUUCUGACGCUGAGACGCGAAAGCUAGGGUAGCGAACGGG